rnacentral:tRNA from 1 species
CGGUGUGUAGCUCAGCAGCAGAGCGCCCGGCUCUUAUCCGGGAGGGCGCGGGGGCGGAACCCGCCGCACCGG